rnacentral:ncRNA from 1 species
CAAAGGCUUGGUCCUGACUUUAACAUCAACUUUAGCUAUACUUACACAUGCAAGUAUCCGCACCCCUGUGAGAAUGCCCCCCAGUUCCCCGUCCGGGAACAAGGAGCUGGUAUCAGGCACACUUUGAAGCCCACGACGCCUUGCUUAGCCACACCCCCAAGGGAAUUCAGCAGUGACAAACAUUAAGCUAUAAGUGAAAACUUGACUUAGUUAAAGCUAAGAGGGCCGGUAAAACUCGUGCCAGCCACCGCGGUUAUACGAGAGGCCCAAGUUGAUGAACAUCGGCGUAAAGAGUGGUUAAGCUAAAAUUAAAACUAAAGCCGAACGUCCCCAAAGCUGUUAUACGCACCUGGGGGUAAGAAGUUCAACCACGAAGGUGGCUUUAUUAAACCUGAACCCACGAAAGCUACGGCACAAACUGGGAUUAGAUACCCCACUAUGCCUAGCCCUAAACAUUGAUAGAAUUUUACAACCUCUAUCCGCCCGGGGACUACAAGCAUCAGCUUGAAACCCAAAGGACUUGGCGGUGCUUUAGAUCCACCUAGAGGAGCCUGUUCUAGAACCGAUAACCCCCGUUCAACCUCACCCCUCUUUGUUAAUACCGCCUAUAUACCACCGUCGUCAGCUUACCCUGUGAGGGACUAAUAGUAAGCUUAACUGGUACAACCCUGAACGUCAGGUCGAGGUGUAGCGUAUGGAGGGGGAAGAAAUGGGCUACAUUCGCUACAACAGCGAACACGAAUGAUGUCCUGAAACGUACAUCUGAAGGAGGAUUUAGCAGUAAGUAGAAAAUAGAGUGUUCUACUGAAAUUGGCCCUGAAGCGCGCACACAUCGCCCGUCACUCUCCCCAAGCCUAAUAAUACAAUUAACUAAAAACUAAUAAUUGCAAAGGGGAGGCAAGUCGUAACAUAGUAAGUGUACCGGAAGGUGCACUUGGAAAAG